CUGUCUCUCUCUCUCUCUCUCUCUCAGAACAUUCACUCUGGUCUGGGGGAAGCCAGCUGUCAUGCCGUAAAGACACUCAGGCAGUCCUACGAAGAGGCUCAUGUGGUGAGAAACUGAGGCCUCCAGCCUACAGCCAUGGCCUAGACAGAAGGAGAAGACAUAGCAGCCCCUGGGACAUGUUUGUCUCAUGGAUGAUCACAAUUGCCAAGAAGAAAAGCCAACAUACAGGUUAUGCCAUGUCUGCUAACAACUUCUUUUCCAAAGCAAGAUCUAGAAGGCGUGGGGCAGUCCACUCAGUCCAUGAGGCAGAGAGUCUUGCUCUGUUACCCAGGCUGGAGUGCAGUGGCGCAAUCUCGACUCAGUACAACCUCUGCCUCCUGGAUUCAAGCAAUUCUCCUGCUUCAGUCUCCCAAGUAUCUGGGAUUACAGAGAUGACGUCUCACCGGGUUACCCAGACUGGUCUCAGCUUCUGACUUCAAGCAAUCUUCCUGCUCAGCCUCCAGAGUAGCUGGGAUUAGAGGUGUGAGUCACCAUGCCCAGCUGAGGCAUCAUUUUUGUUGCUUCUUAUUUCUCACUUUGCCCUACAAGAUCAGCUUAGUAAUAUCAGAGAUGUAUUGAAUCCUUGCAACCUUCAUAUGAAAAUGCCAUGUUGGCCAUAGCUUUGGCCUGGAACACAAAAAUGGAGCACUUCAGUUCAACAAGACAAUGAUAAGUGGUGGAGCUCUGACAAGAGAGAAAGAAAUGACACUGCCAUCUUUUGGAGAAUUCAGAAGUGAGGGGUAUGUUUUUGUCCUGUGCUCUUUCUGGCAAAUAUUUUCCCCCAUGCGUCUUGUCUUUUGCUGGUAUUACACAUAGCAACAGCACCACCUGUUGUCUGUUCUGUUGGUUUGC